AGAGUUUGAUUAUGGCUCAGGAUGAACGCUGGCGGCGUGCCUAACACAUGCAAGUCGAGCGAUUCUCUUCGGAGAAGAGCGGCGGACGGGUGAGUAACGCGUGGGUAACCUGCCCUAUACACACGGAUAACGUACCGAAAGGUACGCUAAUACGAGAUAAUAUGCUUUAGUCGCAUGGCUGAAGUAUCAAAGCUCCGGCGGUAUAGGAUGGACCCGCGUCUGAUUAGCUAGUUGGUAAGGUAAUGGCUUACCAAGGCGACGAUCAGUAGCCGACCUGAGAGGGUGAUCGGCCACAUUGGAACUGAGACACGGUCCAAACUCCUACGGGAGGCAGCAGUGGGGAAUAUUGCACAAUGGGCGAAAGCCUGAUGCCAGCAACGCCGCGUGAGCGAUGAAGGCCUUCGGGUCGUAAAGCUCUGUCCUCAAGGAAGAUAAUGACGGUACUUGAGGAGGAAGCCCCGGCUAACUACGUGCCAGCCGCCGC
rnacentral:rRNA from 1 species